NNACUGCUGAGGAGUCCCAUAAUAGGACGAAACGGCCGUCCAGUGU
rnacentral:hammerhead_ribozyme from 1 species